rnacentral:misc_RNA from 1 species
CAGAAACAACAAAUCCAAGAACAGAUCCAUGAGUCUUUAGAAACGCUCGGCCAGUGACGCGUCAGGUCUUGGGUUUUAAUCUUGUACAGCAUAGCUAUCAUAGCCAUCUUUGUACGAGCUGCUUCGAUCACCGUAACCAGAACCUCUGUCUCUGUUGUACCCUCCGCCUCCUCCAGAGGAAUAUCCACCUCCUCCACUCUUGUAUCCUCCUCCACCACCACCGUAGCUUCUG